rnacentral:rRNA from 1 species
GAACAGCUGGCGGCGUGCUUAACACAUGCAAGUCGAGCGGAAAGGCCUUUCGGGGUACUCGAGCGGCGAAUGGGUGAGUAACACGUGAGUAAUCUGCCCUUGGCUUUGGGAUAACUACCGGAAACGGUGGCUAAUACCGGAUACGACACAGGUGUGCAUGCACUCUGUGUGGAAAGUUUUUUCGGCCAGGGAUGUGCUCGCGGCCUAUCAGCUUGUUGGUGGGGUAAUGGCCUACCAAGGCUUCGACGGGUAGCCGGCCUGAGAGGGUGACCGGCCACACUGGGACUGAGACACGGCCCAGACUCCUACGGGAGGCAGCAGUGGGGAAUAUUGGACAAUGGGCGGAAGCCUGAUCCAGCAACGCCGCGUGAGGGAUGACGGCCUUCGGGUUGUAAACCUCUUUCAGUACCGACGAAGCGCCGAUGAUGGUGGUGACGGUAGGUACAGAAGAAGCACCGGCCAACUACGUGCCAGCAGCCGCGGUAAUACGUAGGGUGCGAGCGUUGUCCGGAAUUAUUGGGCGUAAAGGGCUCGUAGGCGGUUUGUCGCGUCGGGAGUGAAAAUCCAGGGCUUAACUCUGGACUGGCUUUCGAUACGGGCAGACUAGAGGUAUGCAGGGGAGAACGGAAUUCCUGGUGUAGCGGUGAAAUGCGCAGAUAUCAGGGAGGAACACCGGUGGCGAAGGCGGUUCUCUGGGCAUUACCUGACGCUGAGGAGCGAAAGUGUGGGGAGCGAACAGGAUUAGAUACCCUGGUAGUCCACACCGUAAACGUUGGGCGCUAGGUGUGGGGCCUAUUCCAUGGGUUCCGUGCCGCA